rnacentral:lncRNA from 1 species
GAUCCCAGGAAUGAGAGAUAUCCGUUUAAGGGAUCUCCCGACCUUCGCGCGAAACACAAAUCUGGAUGACACCGGAUUUAACUUCAUCAUGGAAGAAACCGAAAGAGCUCAUGAAGCUUCAGCAGUUGUUCUUCAUACUUUUCAUGCCUUGGAGACAGAUGUUUUGGAAGCUCUCUCAUCUAUGCUUCCCCAUGUGUACACCGUUGGCCCUCUUCAAUUGCAUCUCAAUCAGAUACCAGAGCACCCUUUGAAAAUGGGAUACAGUCCAUGGAAAGAAGAAACUGAAUGCCUCGAGUGGCUAAACACCAAGGCACCAAACUCAGUUGUCUAUGUGAAUUUCGGCAGUGUAGCAGUCGUGACACCAGAACAGCUUGUGGAGUUUGGGUGGGGACUUGCAAAUAGCAAGCUUCCAUUCUUUUGGGUAAUUAGACCUGAUCUAGUUGUUGGAGAAUCAGCUAUUUUGCCGCCUGAGUUUGUGGCUGAAACUAAGGAAAGAAGUCUAAUAGCUGGGUGGUGCCCACAAGAGCAAGUCCUCAACCACCCCUCAGUUGGAGGAUUUUUAAUGCACAGCGGUUGGAAUUCAACAGUUGAGAGCCUUACUGCAGGAGUUCCUAUGCUCUGUUGGCCAUUCUUCGGGGACCAGCAAAUGGACUGUCGCUAUACUUGCAAUGAAUGGGGAAUUGGCAUGGAGAUUAGUGAUGAUGCGAAGAGGGAAGAGGUAGAGAAGCUUAUCAAAGAGUUAAUGGAGGGAGAGAAGGGUAAGAAGAUGAAAAAUAAGGUCAUGGAGUGGAAGAAACUUGCAGAAGAAGCUACUGGUCCACAUGGUUCUUCAUCCACAAACUUAGACAAUUUAGUGAAUCAAGUGCUAUUGAGAAAAAGUUAAGAUGUUUCCAUAAGAAUAUUGAUGUUAUUAAUUAUCAUUUCCAUUGCCAUUGUCUCAAAUAAUCAACUAUCUGGCAAUAUAUAUGUACUACUGGUCUGUAACCAUGAUGCGUACUAUAUCUAGAAUUUUAUUCUAAUUAAGGUUUUACUACGCUUCAGGCCUUCAACUCUAAAGUCUUUAUCAUUUUUCAGGCAAUUGUGCACUAACCAUGAUGCAUUAUAUUAAUAAUAUUUUAAAUCAAUAGAUUAAAAAUAUAAAGCUAUACCUUUUUCCACAAAUACCCCCGAGCUUAACGGGUUAACGGGUAUUCGUGAAUUGACACGACACGACACGAUAGCUUAACGGGUGACUAACGGAUCAAUACGAUAUCAACAUGACACCAUAACUCAUGCCUGAAUACUGAAUUUUUCGUGCGAAUUCAUGUCGUAUUAAUGGAUCGUGCACAAUAUUGUCUCCUCUAAACUUAGAUACUUUAGUCGAUUUAAGAAAAAACUAGAUGUUAUCCAUAACCAUAUCUCUAUUAUCACUGUUGAUAUCUCUAUUAUUACUCUAUAUAGCGCCCUUAUUCAUAUAUGAUGUCAUACGGAGCCUAAUAACAUGUUUUCUUAUUUUGUUCUAAAAAAGUUUUUUGAAAGAAGUAGAGACCAGUAAAUGAAAUUAAAAAAAAUUAAACCUCCAAAGCCAUAUAAAGGCAAUGCUUAAAUUUGCUGUUUGCAUUCCAUUCCCUGCUCAAAGCCAUAUAAAGGCAAUGCUUAAAUUUGCAAAGCUCCUCCACCAUAGAGGUUUUCAUAUAACCUUUGUUAACACACAGUUCAAUCACAAGCGCUUUCUUAAAACUCUAGGAUCCAAUUCCCUCGAUGGCUUGCCUGAUUUUCAAUUUGAAGCCAUCCCGGAUAGCCUUCCAGAUUCAAAUGAAGACACCACACAAGAUGUCAUUAAAAAAAUAAAGUUAGACCAUUUUCAACAAAGAAAUUAUGUGGAAGUUUCUUUAAAACCUUGUAUAAUUAUGUUGGAGAUAUUGACCUGAUGAUAAAGCAUAAUCUCUCAUUAAUACUUGAAUGCUUAAUGUGAAAGAAAGAAACGAAAAGAAACAAGAAAACACAGACAAGGUUAAAGAAAAGACAAAAUCCAAAAGCUUACUUUGUUUCCUCGUCUUUCCAAAUCCAAAUCCAAAUCCAAACGCCACUCAAAUCAGUUAGGAAGUUUCUGAUUGUUUAUUUCAUUUCAUACUACAUACAAAGAUAACAACAGCUUGAGUAAAAAAGAACAAAAUUGAUACUUUAAAUUAGAUGCUUCAUUUCAAACCAUAGACACUCCUCUAACGUGAGCUUGAUUAGGGACAAAACCAUUUGAAUUAAAGAGUUAUUUCACUAUAAUGUUAUUUUUAGUCAUUGUACACAACUCACAACACUUUCACACAAAAAUUUACCAAACACUCAAAAACUUAUUAGUGUACCAACAUCACUUUUGAUAAAAAGUUGUCAAAAGCCAAACUGCUUUCUUUCACAACUGAUUUCUCUCACAGCAAAUCUGACUAUAAUUAUUUUUACAUCACAACAAUGCCAAACUAGCUUUGUUUUAGAUCCUUAUUUCAAUUCCUACUUGGUUUAGGAUUCCAAUUUUAAUCUUAUUUCCUACCCACUAUAAAUAAGGCUUUUAGGAAGUGAUAUUAUUAUUUGUGGCUAGAGAGUGUCUAUGAGUGUGGCUCCGAACCAAAUUACAAGUGAGUGUGAGGAAUUGCUAACAAUUCACUAUAGAAGUACAAGAGAAAAAAUAAUUUCAAGCACUCCGAAGUUUUCUUUCUACUAACUAGCCAGGUGAUGUUGAGGAAUUAAGCCCUCUUCAAUUAUACACCAAGCAAAGAAAAACCAUUGUUAAAUGAAGCAAGGAAAUUACAUAAUAUUACAAAUGAAACUAAGCUCUAGUGAUCUCCAUGUGCUCAAAAAUCAAACCCGAUUGAAUGCAUCUUCGUGGUUCAAUGAAUAUGGCGCUUUGCAUUUCAGAUAUAUUUUAUAUGCAGAGAGCUUCCAUUGAAGGAUUCCUCAAAUAAGUUAUUUGAGGAACACCCUUGUAGGGUCCACCAUUGUAUUUCACUAAUGAAGAAUAAGGCCAUGGAGUGGAAAACACAGGCAGAGGAAGCGACCAAUCCACACGAUUCUUCGUCCACAAACUUAGACAAUUUAGCUAAUCAAAUGCAAUCAAGAAAAAUCUAGAUGUUCUCUGCAUCCACAAACUUAACAAGAUCAUGCGCUGCAAACCUAGAAGUUAUUGGUUCAAUGAACUCGCAACAUCGCCAAGAAACGAAAGUCCAAGUCUAAAGUCUUUUUGUCUCGAUUGAUCAAGUAGUUUCCCUGUUGUCUUGAUCAACUGAUUUUUCUUUGCACAGAUAUUUGUGGGCGGGUAAGGGUCCAAAAAUCUGUGCAGAACUUUAACAUUCCUCUAUACUAGUCGAAAAUUUUACUAUCUAUCAACCAAUUGCAAUGACUAACUUCUAGAUUUUAUUAUUACAAAAAUUUAAUCAUAAUUUGUAGACUAUUAGUUAUUUAUAUUAUUAUAAGUAACAAUUUCUACCACAAUUUUUACCAUUAUUUAUAUAAUCAUAAGUUGACUAUCUAUCAAUCAAUGACGAACUUUUCGAAAUACUUGACCAACAUGAGUGUAUAAAUUCAAAAAGAUUUAAAACAUGUAAUCAUAUUUUGUUGACUAUUAGUGAUGUAACAAUUUCGACCAUAUAUAUAGUCCCCUUCUGUUAAGAGAUUCCUCAAAUAAUUUUAUUUGAAGGACACCCUUUCGAGUACCUUACGAUUUUUUUUUCAACGAUCCAAACCGUCUAAUUUUCAAGUCUUUACUCAUAGAUCAUCCUUGUAAGAAAAUCAUACAAAUUGAAAAUCAUUAUGACAUCUAAUAGAGAUCAACAAAAUCAAUAAACACGAUGCUUCGAGGGAGUGCUUAAAUUUCAAUAAUUUUAUUGAAUGGUCAAAUGAUAUUGGAUUCAAGUGAUUUUUUUUGUAGAGAUGAUCUUUGAAUGAAUAUCUACAAAAAUAGACAGUUUGGAUUAGUGAAAUAAAAUAAUCUGCAUUUGCAAGUUGUAACACCCCGACUCCAAAUUAAAUCCUUUAUUUAAGUUAUUUAAAUUAUUUAAGGGAAAUUACAAAUUUACCCUUGAGAUAAGGGAAUUUUUGUCAUUUUCUUAACCGGAGAGAGUUUGGGACAGUGACUAGUAAUUUUGGACAGGUCGUACUGAGACGAGUUCAUAGACACGUAGUGGGAUGGAAUCGGAGUUGUAACGAGAGAGAUAUGGUCAAAAGAAACCCAGUGGCAUAAUCGUAAUUAUUUUGAAAUUAGAUUUUUAUAAAAAUUAGAUUUCUCUCUCUCUCUCUCUCUCUCUCCCUCCCGCGAGCUCUCUCUCUCUCUCUCUCUCUCUCUCUCUCUCUCUCCCCGUCGGUCUCUCUCUCUCCUCGAAACUCCGGCCACCGACCACGGCUUAGACGGGGCCGAUACCAAAAUGACCGGGGCUUCGUCCUCUUCUAGCCCCAGCCGACUCCCGCCUCCAGCCGUCGUAGUUUCGCCGGAAAAUGGAGAAGAAGCGGCUGGUGUCGUCCGAACUUUAUCGCCAUCGAUCUCCCUCCUCCGGCCACCGAUUCCGACGAGCAAGGUGUGGUUUCUCACCUACUUUUCAUGCUCUAGCUGCCUGUUGGGUAGGAUUCGAUCGAUUCUUAGCGUAGGCAAUUCGAUUUUCGAAUUGAAAUUCGGUCAGUUUUGGGAUCGCGAUUCCGGCCACCUCCGGUCAGUUUUUGGGGUAGGUCCAAGAACAAAAGUGGCUCCAAAUAGGGUGUUAUACCUAGGGUAGGAGUUUGGAGCCGUGGUUUUGAGAUUUUCCGGCGACGCGUUAUCGCUUUGGGCACCCAGCGCUGCCGGCGUGUGUGACGGCGCGUGGGCGAGGGUAGUGGAGUUCUACUGUGUCUCGAUGAGAUCCUUAGGUUGUCAUGAGUGCGUAGGAUUUCACGGAUCUCAAUUCGGACGUCGUUUGACUAUCUAACAGACGAUCGCAUAUUGCGCGUUAUCCGAGUUCGAUAGGUUGGGACUUUUGGGUGGUCCCAAAUUUAAUAUAUGUUAAUCUAGGUAUUUCUAGGAUAGCGUAGAAAUUCACGGAUCGUGAAUCGGAGCCCCGGAUGUUUCGAUUUAAUAAUUUAAAGUUUAUGUUUUAUAUUAACCGUCAGAUCGUGCGAUUGUGAGCGAUCCGACCGUCCGAUCUGAACCAAACUUGCAGGACGAGUGUCCUAUACCUUAUAGAACCCAUAGGAACUUUCGGAUCGGAAUUUGGAGGUCAUGGGCCCCGUAGGCCCGUUUGACCAGGGUUAUGAUAGUUUGACCCUUGGUUGACCGUGAGUCUUCUGGAGUAGUCUCACCUUUUCACGGGGAUUAUCGGGUGCUAGACUGUUGUUGAGAUUUACACAAUAUUAGAAUUAAAUUAUAUAUUUAUAUAUGUUUGUAAAGGUAUAAAAAGAGUCUAGAAUGUCAGUUUGAAGUGCUAUACGCACUACCUUAUGCACAUCCCCGGAUUUUGGUUACACUACACGUACCACCCUGUGAAAGUUAGGUCCCACGUGGCGUAGGUUAUCCGGCGUGCGGACAGACCUCAUACAUGGCAUUGGUAGUAUCGGCGUAUGGGGAGAUUACGUGAUAAUAUGUUGAGGUAGCACGUGGCGUAGGUUAUCCGGCGUAUCGACAGACCUCAUAUGUGGCGUUGGUUGUACCGGCGUAUGGGGAGAUUUGUGAUAUGAUGUGCAGGUCUCGCAUGGCGUAGGUUAUCCAGCGUUGAGACAGACCCCCUACGUGGCGUUGGUUGUACCGGCGUAUGGGGAGAUAUUAUGAUAUUAUGUUGUUGAAGAACUAACAAGUCUUUAGAGAUACAAUUUUAAAUUGAAGUCAAAAUUCAAUGAAAGGAAAAAAAAAAGGUCAAACAAACAAAGCCAGAAAGCCUAUUUCUUCAUCCUCAGAAUAGAAGCUUCUUGUCAAAACCUAACCCUAUCAGCACUUUUGAAUCCAAUAAAUAACAUGGACACAUAUACAAACAAUGAAUAUAUAUUUCCCAAUCAAAUUGGUGUGACAAACCAGAAACACAAACACAUGGAUCAAAGAAAGGAAAAUUUGAUGAAAUCAAUCUCUACUAUGCUGAUCAUUCUUCUUUGUGCCGCAAAUAUAACAUAAUCACAAUAAACAUAUAUACACAGAUGUAUAUGUUGUCAUUCUGAUAUAUUUCAAUAUCUUGAAGAAUGACCUACUGGAAUUUCUAAGCAUUGGAUGUCACAAAAUAGGUAAUGUAGAGACUAUAAAUGACACAUACAAUUUCCCUUCUUUGGAUGAAAAAAAAAACAACUGGAAACACAAACUUCAAUUGCAUAAAUCGCCAAAACCAUAAAGGGACGGGAAUAAAACCAUAAUAAACUAGCAAUACAACAACACUAAAAUGCCAAUACAAAACCACUAAAUUGGCAAUACAAUAGCAAAAAAAGCAAUAAAACAUCAAUAAAACAUCAAUAACAACAGCAAAACAAUAGCAAAACAACAGAAUCCCAAAUCAAACGCAAGAAUCAAUCCACAAAGAACAAACCCAUUCAAUGUUUCAAACAAGGAAUCAUCAAAAUAAGACAAUUUCAAAGAAACCCCUCAACCCUAAAUCAAUUUCAGAGACACCUAAACCAAAAUUUCAGACAAACCCCUAAACCCUAAAUCAAUUUCAGAGAAAUCCCUAAUCCAAUUUCAGAUACCCUUAAACCCUAAACCAAUUUCAAAGAAACCCCUAAACCAAUUUCAUAGAAACCCAUAAACCCUCUAAACCAACUUCAGAGAAACCCCUAAACCAAUUCAAAUUGACGAUGAACAGUACCUUUUGCAAGUGAACGAUGGAAGAGGAAGACCACUGCAUCAGAGAGAGAGAGAGAGAGAGAGAGAGAGAGAACUACAUGAGAGAGAGUUGCGCAAGAGAGAUCGAGAGCUUCACGCGGUGGUGAAAGAUAGAAGAGAGAUUGAGAGCUGACUGAAGAGAGAGUGAGACCUCAGCGACAAAGAGAGCUGCACGAUAGAGAGAGUGAGAGGCACGAUAAAGAUGACAAUUUCAGCAAAAGUGAUAUGCGUGCAAUAAGUGGACAAUAAAUAUAUAUUUAUAGGUGAUAGUUGCAAAAUUUUUGGAGAGAGGUGGUAUUUUCAGUUAAAAUUAUAAAAAGGGUGGUAUUUAGAGCUAUUUCCAUAUAAUAUACCAGUUCCCCUUCACUUCUUCUCACCUCAAUUUAUCUGACAACUUUCGUCUCUCUCUGGCUAUCUUAUCUCCAUAGACUUGUGUGGAGGGGAAAAUACAGAGAGCCAAAACAAGACACAUUGAAAAGUGGCUCAGUUUUGCUUUAUAAAUAAUCCGCAUUUGCAAGCACCGCAAUGCACACACAAAAGCUAAGAUGGAUUCCAAAAAAGUAGCUACUAAGCCACAUGCUGUUUGCAUUCCAGUUACUGCUCAAAGUCAUAUAAAACCAAUGCUUAAAUUUGCAAAGCUCCUCCACCACAGAGGAUUUCAUAUAACCUUUGUUAACACAGAGUUCAAUCACAAGCACUUUCUUAAAUCUCUAGGACCCAAUUCCCUUGAUGGCUUGCCUGAUUUUCAAUUCGAAGCCAUCCCGAAUAGCCUUCCGGAUUCAGAUGAAGAUGCCACACAAGAUGUCACCUUGCUUUGUGAAUCCGUCAGAAAACAAAAUUUAUUGGCUCCCUUUCAUGCCAUCCUUGCAAAACUCAACAAUGAUGCCAUAUCAACAUCCAGUAAUCCUCCUGUUGUAGAAUUGUAAGUAGUGAGCCUGAUUUACUUUUAAGCCUAGAGUGUUAAUUGUGUAUUCACUUAGUCUUAGAAAAUGACAAGUGUAAGGCUUCAAACAUGUAAAGGCUAAAAUAGCCAAGAGCUAGAAUUAAAACAGAUGGAUGGCUGAGAUUCACUUAUGCUUGUGUGAAUCCAGCUAAGAGCUAACGGUCAUGUAGUACAUGUUGUGUGAGCUCAUUUUCAUAUAUAGAGAAUAUACAAAAGCCUUGCUCACUGAGUUUGUGAGUAAGUAGAGCAAAACACUAACAUGGCCUCAGAGCCAGGUUUGAUCGAUUGAAUCUAGGCGUUUUUCAAAUCUGUGAAAUCAAGCUAAAUCGGUGCUUACUCAAGCUCGUGGCAAUUGAUUGGAGCUCAUUGGAUAUCUGAAACAAGUUGGUUGUGGUUAUCUGAGAUUAGCAAUGUCUGGAUCUGGAGGCUCAGAAGUAAGAACUCCGAUCUUCUCCGGUGAGAACUAUGAGUUCUGGAGAAUCAAGAUGAUAACCAUCUUCAAGUCAUAUGGGUUGUGGGCUCUGGUGGAGAAAGGAAUUACGAUUCCAGAAUCGAAGAAGAAGGCAGCUGAGGAAACAUCUACAGAGGAAGAUGAUGAGAAGAUGGCUGCGAUUCUUAUGAAGGAUGCAAAAGCUCUGGGGAUUAUUCAGAACUCAGUCUCUGAUUAGAUCUUCCCUCGCAUUGCUAAUGCUGAUUCAGCUAAAAUGGCAUGGAAUCUGCUAUAUGGAGAAUAUCAUGGUGGUGACCAUGUCAGGUCAGUCAAGCUUCAAAACCUUAUACGUGAGUUUGAGUAUACUAGGAUGCAUGAAAAUGAAUCUCUGUCUGCAUAUCUUACCGGUUUGAAUGAGCUGAUUAAUCAAAUGAAAACAUAUGGUGAAUCUCUAUCUAAUGAAAGGCUCGUUCAAAAGGUUCUAAUUAGCUUAAAUAAGGUUCAUGACCCUAUUUGUCUGGUGAUUGAGAAUAUAAAAAGUCUGGAAACAGUAGAUUUACAAGAAGUCAUUGCCAUUCUAAAGAGUCAAGAGCAACGAUUUGAGCUGCAUAAUACUGAUACAGUUGAGAAGGCAUUUGCCUCUUUUUCUGUGAAUCCCAAAAGCCAGAACAAGGGAGGUUAUCAAUCUGGUCAAUCUAUGUCUCAAAAAAAUUGGAAUCCAAAAGGCAAACCAUGGGAAUCAAAUUCCAAGCCUCAACACACCAAUUUUGCACAUAACUCAUCAUCAACAAUGGGUCAAGAAGGUUCAAAACCACAGUGCAAAGUAUGUUCUAAAUUUUAUUCUGGUGAAUGCAGAUACAAGGGAAAGCCUAAGUGUUACAAUUGUGAUAAAUUUUGACAUUUGGCUAGGGAGUGUACUGCAGGCAAGAAUGUGCAGAAAGCAAACUGUGCAAAUCAAAUGGAAGUGACUGGAAACCUAUUCUAUGCCAACAGUACUAUUGCUGCCACAAAUGUUACUGGAGAAUGGUAUAUAGACAGUGGGUGUAGCAACCACAUCACUGGAAAUGGGAGUUUGCUGCCACAAAUGUUAUUGGAGAAUGGUAUAUAGACAGUAGGUGUAGCAACCACAUCACUGGAAAUGGGAGUUUGCUAAUAGAUAUUAGAACAAAUGUGGUAGGCAAGGUGCAAAUGCCAAAUGGUAAGCUUGUGAAUGUAGCUGGAAUGAGCACAUUGGCAAUUGAUACUACCAAAGGCAGAAAGUAUAUCAAGGAAGUGAUGUAUCUUCCCGGAUUGAAAGAGAAUUUACUAAGUGUAGGCCAAAUGGAUGAACACGGUUACUAUCUAGUAUUUGGAGGAAAAUUGUGCAGCAUCUUUGAAGGUCCUUCACUAGAGUAUCUUGUAAUCAAAGUAGAGAUGAAAAGGAAUAGGUGUUACCCCUUGGCACUAUUACCUAAUGAUCAUAUUGCACUAAAGGCAAGUGUGUCUAACUCUACUUGGACAUGGCACAAAAGGUUGGGUCAUCUACACCUAAAAGGACUAAGUCAACUCAAAGAGAAGUAUAUGGUGCAUGGACUGCCAUUCAUGGAAAAGGUUGAUGGAGUCAGUGAUGGAUGUCAGUUUGGAAAGUAGCACCGAGAAUGGUUUCCAAAGAACCAAGCAUAGAGAGCAAGCAAUCCUCUUGAGCUGUGGAUUUGUGUGGACCCAUGCAAAAUGAAUCCAUUGCUGGCAACAAGUAUUUCAUGCUCCUUAUAGAUGACUGUACAAGAAUGGUCUGGGUCUAUUUUCUCAGAUACAAAUCUGAAGCAUUGAAUUGUUUUCGAAAAUUCAAGUCAAUGGUAGAAUUGCAAAGUGGUUUUAAGGUGAAGUGUUUGAGAAGUGACAGGGGAGGAGAGUUCACAUCUUGUGAAUUCAACAAGUUAUGUGAAGUUGAAGGGAUUCAAAGACAACUCUCUAUGGCCUACACUCCACAACAAAAUGGAGUGGUGGAGAGAAAAAAUAGGACUGUGGUGGAAAUGGCAAAAGCAAUGCUUCAUGGUAAAGGAUUGCCUUACUAUCUGUGGGCAGAAGCUGUGCAUACAGCUGUCUACUUGAUAAAUAUGUGCCCUACUAGAGCAUCUGGAGAUAAAACACCAUUUGAGGCAUAUAGUGGGAGAAAACCAGGUCUGGCUCAUCUCAAAAUAUUUGGUUGUGUGUGUUAUGUACACAUAUCAAGUGAAGUGAGGCAGAAGUUAGAUGCAAAAAGAACCAAGGGUAUUUUUGUGGGAUAUGCAAUCUGUGAAAAAGGUUAUAGAGUGUAUGAUCCUGCUACUAAGAAGAUUUUACUCUCAAGGGAUGUUGUGUUUGAUGAGAAUGCAGCUUGGGAUUGGAAACAAAUGUCUGAUAAACAAGGAAGUGUGAUCAAUCAUAAAGAACAAUAUGAUAUGUCUAAUGAUUCAUCACAAGUGACACCUUCUAGAAGUCAUGAUCACUUUCAAUCACCAAGAACAAGUGAUAUAAGCAGCAGCAUGAGAAAUACUCAAGCUUUUGAUCACACUCCUUUAAAAUGGAGAAAUCUGGAUGAUGUUCUAGCUCAAUGCAAUCUUUGUAUUAUGGAACCAGAAAAAUUUGAUGAAGCUACUAAAGAUGAAUCUUGGAUGAAAGCAAUGAAGGAUGAACUUUCAAUGAUUGAGAAAAAUGCAACAUGGAGCUGGUGGACAGACCAGCCGAUAAACCUAUAAUUGGAGUUAAGUGGGUGUUCAAAACCAAGCUAAACCUUGAUGGUUCAGUACAGAAAAACAAGGCACGAUUGGUUGCCAAAGGUUAUGCUCAGGAACCAGGUGUCGACUACAAUGAGACCUUUGCACUAGUGGCUAGACUUGAUACAAUCCGCACACUAGUUGCAUUGGCAGCACAAAAGAAUUGGAAAUUGUAUCAACUAGAUGUCAAAUCUGCCUUCCUAAAUGGUGUUUUGGAAGAGGAGGUGUAUGUAGAUCAACUGGAUAGUUUUGUGGUCAAGGGGAGUAAAGAUAAGGUGUACAAGCUUCAUAAAGCUCUCUAUGGCCUAAAACAGGCACCAAGAGCUGGGUACUGUGAGAUUGACACCUACUUUGCUUAAUAUGGUUUUUCCAAAAGUCCAAGUGAGGCCACUCUCUAUACCAAGACCAGAGGAGAGGCAGAAAUUCUAAUAGUGUCCAUCUAUGUAGAUGACAUUGUUUAUACAGGGAGUUGUCAGUCAAUGUUAAAGGAGUUCAAGCAAGACAUGAUGGUGAAAUAUGAAAUGACAGACUUGGGGCUCUUGCAUCAUUUUUUAGGAAUGGGAGUCAUUCAAACUCACACUAGCAUUUUUCUUCACCAAAAGAAAUAUGCAGCAUCUUUGUUGAGCAAAUUUGGCCUAUGUGAAUGCAAACCUGUCUCCAUACCUUUGGUUACAACUGAGAAGUUAAGCAAAGAAGAUGGAAGUGGCCCUCAAAUGAAGAGCAAUAUAGGAAGAUUGUGGGAAGCUUGCUAUACCUUACAGCUACAAGACCCGAUAUAAUGUAUGCAUCUAGUCUACUUGCUAGAUUUAUGCAUUGUCCUACUAAUAAGCAUUAUGGGACUACUAAAAGAGUUCUCAGGUAUAGUCAGGGGACACUUGAUUAUGGGUUGGAGUAUGUGAAAGGAAGGAAUGCAAUGUUAAUUGGCUACUGUGAUAGUGACUGGAGUGGCUCAGUGGAUGACAGUAAGAGCACUUCAGGGUAUGCUUUCUCUUUUGGCAGUGGUGUUUUUGCUUGGGCAUCAAUCAAACAAAACUGUGUUGCUCUUUCUACUGCAGAGGUAGAAUACAUCAGUGCUUCAGAAGCAACUGCAUAGGCAAUUUGGCUUAGAUUUGUUUUGGAAGACUUUGGUGAAUUUCAGGCUGAAGCUACCCCACUACAUUGUGACAAUACAGCUGCUAUUGCUAUCACAAAGCACCCUGUAUUUCACCAUAAAACUAAGCACAUUGAUCGAAGGUAUCAUUUCAUCAAGGAUGCCUUGCAAGAAGGAAUCAUUAACUUGAUUUAUUGUCCUACAAAUGAGCAGUUGGCAGAUAUCUUCACAAAGUCAUUGGCUAAAGAUCGAUUCUGCUAUCUUAGAGACAAACACUACUACAAAAAGUAAAAAAGACGACCAGAAAACAACGACGGUCUAAGUGAAAACCGUCGUGGUUUUUAAAAAGACGACGGUUCUAAAAACACCGUCGUGUAAUACCACCUUAGACAACUAAAAAUGGAGAUUCAAAUGGCUGUUCAAAAACAACGACGUACCUAAUUAAAAAACCGACGUCUAUUUGAAACAGAUUUCCGCAGUGUAAAAUCAAAGCCAACAAAGAACGGCAGAAGUUAUGAAUCGACCGACGUAGAAAGUAAAGACGACGAUUUCAAUAAAAGCCGCCGUUUUUACUCAUAAAAUAACACGACGAAAUUUUCGUAUAAGACGCCGUAUAAUUACAAACAAAUCGACGGCUUUAAAAUACAAAAUGUCGUCGUAUUAAAUUAAUUUACAACGACGGAAAAUAUAAAUAUAUCGACGUUAUUCUCGUAUAGUUCUAUGACGUUAUCUUUAAAUCGUACUAUAAAAUUUAACGUCGUAUUUAUUAAUUUUAUACGUCGUACCUUUAAUUUAAACCGUCGUCUUAAUAAGAAUUUUUGUUAACAAUUUUUUCCUUUAUUUUCUUAUCCUACGUCGGUAGAUCUACUUAAUGACAAGAAUUGAAAUCUGUCAUCCAAAAAAGAAACUUUACAUAAUCCAGAACAUUAAUUUCCUUCAUUUUAAAUUUCCUCCGAAAAAAAAACUAUAUUUAUAACGCACUGUAAUUGAAAAAUAAACUGAAAGGUCACGGGAAAAAAAUUUCUAUUCAUAAUUUAACAAUUCAAAUCCACGUCGGUUAUAUUAAACCUAACGACGUUAAAUGAAAAGAUUCCACGUCGCAAAACAAAUAUUGCGUCGUGUUAGUUUAUGGUUUCUUUAAUAGUUUCAGUUUCUUUAACAGUUUGGUCCUUUAUCUUUCUGCAGGACUUGUAUAGUUCAAAGCAUUGACUUGUAUAGUUCAGAGUAUAGUUCAAAGCACUGAUUCGAUUGCUCAUGCUUUAUCGCAUUCAUGAAGCCAUUUCUAUUCUUUAUCGCAUUCUUGAAACCCAUCUUCUUCUUCUGAAGCUCUACGGAUAAAGGAAGAGGCUAUCACAAAUCUGACGGAUCUUCUUAGCCAAGAAAAUCAAGCAGAGGAUCAGGCACAUCUGAUCUUCAGAUUUUCCUGAGAAGCGAACUUUCCUUCGACAGCGAGUGGAGGACAGGCUUGCAUCUCUUUUGAUGGAAAGCAAGGAGUAUUCAGAAGCACUAAAUGUCCUAUCAGGCUUGAUCAAGGAAGUGAGAAGGCUAGUUAACAAGCUUCUUCUUGUGGACAUAGAUUUGAUGCGAGUAAGCUCAAUUUCUCUUUGAGAAAGACAUCCAAAUUACUGUCUUUGAGAUGUGAGAGACAGUGUCUCUGAGAGAGGAAGAACUUGGAACCCUAAAUGUAAACCGAAAAUGAAUGAAAGCGACAAAUUUAUAGAAUAAAUUUUUAAAACCAACGGCGGUCCUUACAAAAAAACCGCCGUUUAAAUUUUAAAAUCAACGUCGUUAUGACCGACGUAUAUUACAUAAAUCCACGUCGGUACAUUAAUAAAAUCGACGUGUUAAAUGAUCUACCAUGACGCGAGUUAUUAUUUAUGUACUUUAAUUUUUGAGUUUACUACGACGGUACCUACAACACUACUGUCGUACUUAUUUACCACGUCCGAAGUUAAACGUACUGUCGUAUUUUGUAAUUUAUACGUCGUAGUUAUAUGUAACCGCCGUAUUAUUUUUUGAAAUGGUUUUAUAUGUAAGCAACUUUUCGUGUACCUGUCUUACACAUGCACUGUUUCCAAACCCAAUUAAAAAUUUCAAUCUCCCAGAGAAAACUUUUAGACUUUUUUCCUUGUCAGAGCACUUUCAGAGUAUCUCAUCGUCUUCCUCUCGUCUUCUUCGUCGUCUCUGAACUUAAACAUCGAUCGUCUUCCUCUUGCUUUCAUUGCACGCAAAAGGUAAGCUUUCAUUUUCACUAUUUUGGUUGCUGUUUUGCAUGCUCAUACGUUUUUUGUUUGAAAAAUCUUUUUACCUUUUUUCUGGCCAAAAUCAUUUUACUUCUUUCCAAGUUCGAAAAAAUAUACAGACAAAGAGGGAAAGUUUCCAACUUUGAAGACAACUACCUCAACUAAAUAAGACGACGGUAGCUUCUUAUUUACGUGGUUAAAUAUGUAGACCACGACGGUUCGUCAGUCGUUCUAGCGUCGUCUGAAAAUUGACAAAGUUGUUUUUAAAAUUAUAGUCUUUUUUUUAUUUGCUUGUUUAAUUGCAGGUUUGAUUUCUCUGAACAAUGGUUUUUGUUUUUCCCUAAUUUGAUAAAAUAUAAAGAAAAAGAAAUUAGGGUUGGUAUCUAAUAUAGACGACAGUAUCUUAUUGUUUUACGUCGUGUGAAUGUUAAUACCACGACGUCAUAUUAAAAUACCGUCGUCUAUAUAAGAUUCUAAAACUUUCUUUCUUGGCCUUGUAUUUUAUCAAAUUAGAAAACAAAAACCAUGGUUCAGAAAAAUCAAAUCUGCAAUCAAACAUUCACAGAGAAAGAAAGAAGGGUUUUGGAUCCUUAUAUAGACGACGGUAUAUUACUACUGACGUCGUGUGAACAUCAAUACCACGACGUUAUAUAAAUAUUCCGUCGUUUAUAGUUAAUUAUUACGUCGUUUGUAGUUAAUUAUUUCGUCGUUGAUUAAUUACCUUGGUUUUAAACAUUUAUUACGUCUGAUAUUAUUUCAUUGCGUCGUUUAAAAUCAUAUCAUACGUCGUCUUUUAUUAAGAACCGUCGUUUGUGUUCUUAAUCUUUUCUUGAAAUAUUUUCACUUUCAGUUUUGUCUGUAAAAAUGGUUUCUCACCAAGACCAAAGUAAGGAUUCUGGCUCCAAGAAAAAUGGAGGUAAGGAGCAAGUACCUCCUCAAGAGAAGUCUUCGAAGAUAAUGAAGUCUUCGAAGAAGAUGAAGUUUGCUUCAUCAUCUGCUGAUACAGAACCAACCAGCUCGACAACAAUCUCUGAUGAUUCAAAGGCUGGUCGAGGUAUGAGCACAAUGCCUCAUGUUGUGAAGAGAAAACUUCAGAAACUGAGGCCAAUUGUUGAGUACAAUAAAAGGGGGAAAGGAAUUGGCCAAUCACACAGUGAGAUGCAGUCCUAUAUUGGUGUGUUGGCACGCUCCAGAGUCCCACUUGUGGACUUGAAAUGGGCUCAAAUCCCCAAGGAUAUAAAGGAGCAGAUUUGGGAAGCAGUUGACAUUGCUUUUGUAGUAGGUCAAGGGGGCAAGAACUCUGUCUUAGCUUCUGCUGCCAAGAAAUGGAAGGAUUUCAAGUCUACACUAACGAGGCAUUAUAUCCUUCCAUACACCAAUGACAGGGAGAGAUUAAGCCAACCCCCUGAAACAUAUAAAUUCAUAGAGAAAGCACAAUGGGAUGCCUUUGUAGCUUCAAGGCUAUCCAAAGAUUUUGAGUCUGUGCAUUCUCAACAUGCACAGAUUAGGGAGAAACUCGAGUACAAUCAUCGAUUGUCUCGAAAAGGAUAUGCUGGUUUGGAGGAUCAAUUAGAGGAAACCAUGCCUGGGGUAGAAAUUGAUCGAUCUACCUUAUGGAAGAGAGCUAGACAGGACAAACAUGGUAACAUCCCUGAUCCAAAGGUGGCAGAGAAAGCAAAAUUAAUUGUAAGCCUACUCACUCUGUUUUAAAUUUUUAUUAAACUGUGAAUAAUUCUUAUUAUGUCUUAUGUUAUAUUUUGCGUCGUGUGAAUGAUAUUACCACGUCGACAUUUUUUAAAACACGUCGUUAAAGGUCUAAAUAGGAAUCACAACUCUGUUUUCUGUAAUUAUAGCAUAAGAUGUCGGUGGUUCAAUUUCGCGUCGUCUGUAUUAAAUUACUACGUCGAAAUGUUUUAAACAACGUCGUUAAAGGUGUGAAUAUUGAAUCAUCCCUCUGUUACAUAAGACGUCGGUGGUUUAUUAAUUUCGUCGUUUUAAAAAUCUAACCACGUCGGUAUAACUACCGUCGUGAUAAAUUAUAAUAACGUCGAUUUAUAUGUUAUUGCGUCAUGUGAAAUUAUAUAAUACGUCGUUUGUAUAUAAAUAACCGUCGUGUGUUUUUGUUCUUACUUUUUUAUAUAUCUUUGUUUCAGGAUGAUUUGCAAAAACAAGUCUCGGAAGGCAAAGUCACCGUCUCUGGCAGCAAUGAUGUGCUGACCAUGGCUUUGGGCCCCGAGCAUCCAGGCAGAGUCAGAGGAGUAGGUGCUGGGAUCUCACCAGGGCAAUAUUUCAAUUUACCCAAACCACAGAGAGUGAGCUUUGACGACCGUUUGAAGGACAGUUUAAGAGUUCUCCUUCAAGAAGAGACUAGAAAGAUGGAGGCUAAGGCAAGGGAAGAGGCUUUAAGGAUGGAGGCUAGAACGAAACAAUUGGUAGAGGCUGAAAGGGAGCAUUUCCUGAGUCAGCUUUCCCAAUUAAUUCCCAAUUUUGAUCCAAGCAUGCUUAAACCCAGAAUUAGCCAAAGUCCCAAAAAUUCAAUGUCUGACAAAGCAAGCUGCUCUGGAGGUGAUGUGAGAUCCCAGCAUUUUGAGGAUGAUACUGCCAAAAAUGGGAAACAUCAGGAAGAAAAGGUAACAUAUCUGAACUUUGAAUUGUCUGUUUUUUUAAAAACCAUUAGACGUCGUUAUUAUUAAUAAAACCAUCGUUUGAAAUACAUACCACGACGAUUUUAAAAAUAAACCGUCGUUUGUAUUUCAAUACCACGUCGUAUUUAGUUUACUUGUUUUACACGCCAUUAAACGUCGUUAUUUUUAAAACUUUGUGGUUUUUAGACGACGGAGUUAAUCAUUCCCGACGUCAUAGAUGAAGAGAAUAAAGAAGAAAAACAAGAUGAAAAGCAGAAAGAAGAUGACGACCAGGUAUGUUCACAUAACUUUGCCUUUUUUAUUUGUUUUUCAAAAUUCCAGACGUCGAUAUUUUUCUUUAAACCGUCGUUUGUUUACAACUUAGACGGCGGAAUUGUUUUCUAAGACGUAAUAAAUAAUUCACCACGACGGUUGUUUCACCGUCGUUUAAAUUGUUUUCAGACGACGUUUUAUUCCUUAAACCGUCGUUUUUAUUGAAUUACCACGUCAUUUUUUUUAUUUCUUUAAACAGGUUACUAAAGUUGUUGAUUAUUCAAAUAUGGAGGCGCCAUCUUCUUUACAAACCCUUUGUCGUUAUGUGGAAACGACACUCGUGCCUCAGGAUAAGACCCUGCACUUUACAAUUGAUAAGGAGGUCUUUGGUCUAGAGCGCGAUACCUUCCUCCUGCCUGAAGAUAUUACACAAUUUGCAGGCAUGGAGGAAAUAGGAGCUACAGUCAUUGCUGUAUAUAUGAGGUUUGUCAUUCUAAAAUAAUACGUCGUUGGUUUAUUUAUUGCGUCGUCUUAACUAACUAACCACGUCGUUAGUAUGUACCGUCGUGAUAAAUUUAUUAUAACGUCGUUGUCUAUUUCAGUACGUCGUGUGAAACCUUAUAAUACGUCGUUUUGUUAUACAUAACCGUCGUGUGUUUUUUUUGCGCUGACUUGUUUAUAUUAUUUUAUAUAUUUAGGUACUUACACGAUGUUUUAAAACAAGCAAAUAUGUGCACAAUGGUUGGCUUUAUCGACCCUGCUAUAGUUAGUGCCAGCUCUGGCACAAUAGCUGACAGAUCACGAAUGGUAGCAUCACGACUUCAGAAGACUGACGGUGAACAGAUUUUCCUGAUGCCUUACAAUCCAGGGUUAGUCUCCUUAACAGGAUUUUGUUUUUAUGAUUUUCAAUAAAUGACAGCGUAUAAACUAACCACGUCGGUGUUUUAUUUUAUUGAGUCGUUUGAAACGACUAACCACGUCGGUAGUUAUUUACGUCGUGAUAAAUAUAUAAUGUCGUCGAUUGCUACUUUAUUUCGUCGUGUGAAAUAUUAUAAUACGUCGUUUUUGUAAAUAACCGUAGUUUUUAUAUUAAUUUUGUGCAGCCGUCAUUGGAUCUUGCUGAUUGUAAGAGCAAAGAGGGAAACAGUCUAUUUUCUGGAUCCUCUGCCAGGAUAUCGUGUGGUCGAUGAAGAGGCCAAAAACAUCGUGAACAGUGCCAUAAAAAUUUAUAAUUCCCACAUAGCCAGAUCAGGCCGUAAGGCAGUCAUUUGGAAAACUCUGUCAGGCACACCAAAGCAACCCAGCAAUGUCGAAUGAGGGUAUUACGUGAUGCGCUUCAUGAAGGACAUCAUCAUGGAUCCUUCCUUGGGGUUUGAGAAGAAGGUAAGAAGAAAUAACCUUCAAACAUUUUACGUCGUUUUUUGUAUUAUCAACGACGGUCAUGUAAAAUUACCGUCGUUGAAUAGAUAUACUACGUCGGUUAUGGUCGUCUGUGAUUGAAUUUCCUUUUAUUUAUAAACCCUAAUAGUCAUUGUUUUUAUGCAGUAUGCGAAGGGAAAACAGGAAGAGCCAUACCCCCAAGAAGCAAUUGAUGAAGUCCGGAAUGAAUGGGCAGAGUUUGUUUGCCUUCAACUUAAAUAGGGGAAUUAUUGAACACUUGAUAUUUAUGUAUAAUGUACAAAUUUUGUCUAUAAUAUAUAAUGUAAAAAUUUGUUGAGGUUUUCUUAAAGUAAAAACAAAAACAAACAUACAAAAUGCGUUACCGACGUGUAAUAAUUUUCCAACGACGUAAUAAAGUCAAAAGCCGUCGUUUUUUGUGGUUUCGUUUUAAACAAAUCCGACGUAAAAGGAUAUUUAGACGACGUUCUUUGAACAAUGGAGUCGUUUAUGGUUUACAACGUCUUCAAUUUCUUAAGGGUUCAGGGUAGUACUUUGUAACGACAACGGUUAAGUCGAGGAAUAUAUAUUUUACGUCGGAUAGUUAAAUAUCCGCCAUCGUUUCUUAUUUAAACGACGUCAUUUUAACAACUUAGUCGUCUCUUACAAUUUACAACGUCUACAAUUUAUUAACACCGACGUGGUUUGUUGUUGUGAUAAGAAUAUUUUAUUAUUUUUAUAUCAAAAUAUUCAAAAUAAAUUUAAAAUAAAUCAGAAAAAUGCAAAGUCAACUCCUAUGAAGUCAUUGAUAUAUUUUCUUCCCCCUAAAGCUUGAAAAAAUUCAUUUUGAAUAACAAAAAUUUAAAAUGAACAUCCAAAACAAAAUUGUUUUGAUGAGUCAUAAAAUCACUUCUAGUUUUAUGGUUUAGGGUUUAGAGUCUAGGGUUUAGAGAUUAGGGUUGUUAUUUCUUGGGGUUUAUUUUUAAAGUAUAAUUUUUGGGUAGUCUAGGGUAUAUAUUAGGCUGUAAAACCAUAAACCCUUUUAUAAACUUAAUUUUUAAAAUUAUAUAAUUUAGUUUUAAGGGUUUAGGGUAUUAAUUGUUAACGACGGUGGUUGAGUCGUGGAAUACAUAUGUUACGUCGUGCAGUAAAUUAUCCGACAUGGUUUCUGCGUUAAACGACGUCAUUUUAAUAUGUAAGUCGUGUAUUAUUAUUUACAACGUUUUCAAUUUCUUAACCCCGACGUGGUUUUUCAGUCGUCUUUAUAUCAAAAUAUUGAAAAUAAAUUUAAAAUUAAUCCGAAAAAUGAAGCGUCAAAAUAAACGGCGUUACAUUCAGUGUUUCCGUCGUGGAAUAUUACAUUUACGUCGGUUCUUGUAGAACUUUCGCCAUGAUUUUUCUUUCAACGUUUUAAAGAGCGCGCGCUCUAAAAAUUUCCGCGCGUCCUAAAUUUUUUUAUAUUUGGCUCUUAUUCUUAUUCUUCUAACCCUGAACCCUAAAAUUUUCAGAUUUCGUGCAACAUAACAUUUCGCUCUCUCACUUCUGCUCUAAUUAAAAGUUGCUCUAAUUAAAAGUUGCUCUGUCACUUCCGCUCCGUCGAAUCUGUGAGCUCGUCCAACCUGUAAGUACAAACCCUAUCUUCCCCUUGUAAAUUCAUUGAAUGAUAUUAGGUUGUUUUGUUAAAGGGUUUUAGGUAUAUGCUUUGCGAUCUGUUAAUAAUGUGCUUAUAAGUAUGGGUUCAUGGAUUUUCUGUUUAAUGGGUUCAUGGAUUACAUUAUCUGUUAUGUUGAAUUGGGAAUGGAUUUAAUUUUGUCGGAUCUUUUAAUCACCCUAUGUUAUGUUGAAUUGGGAAUGGAUUUAUUGUUUUCAUGCUUGGUUUCAUGUAUAUGUUGUUUUCUUGCUUGGUUUCAUAUAUAUGUUGUGUUCUUAAUGGGUUUUGGGUUCUUGAAAAUAAACUGAGACACGACGCCUUUUUAGGCAUACGACGACGAUUACACGACGGUUUAUGAAAAAACCGUCGUUGUAUUACUUAUACACGACGAUGUUUUCAUAAACCGUCGUUUGUAUUACUUAUAUUAGACGACGUCUGUUGAAAAUCCGUCGUCUAUAUAUGCCAAAUACGUCUGUUUUUGUUUAAAACCCGUCGUCUCUGUUGUGUAUUACUUGCUAUUAGAUCUUUGUAUAAUCUGCUAUAGUGAUGGUCAUUGCCUGUAUUUUCACUUUAUUAUAGAUAAUAGGUUAUAGUGUCGGAGAUGGAUAAGUCAUGGAUGCACUCGGAUAGAAGAUCGAAGGCAUAUGAGUUUGGGGUGGAAGCAUUUUUGAACUUUGCUGUAGAAAAUCUUCUAACUACAACACAUAUCCGUUGUCCAUGUGUUAAAUGUGUUAAUUUGAAGUUGUUUGGGGUUGGAAUUAUAAGGGAUCACUUAUACUUUAAUGGAAUUGACCAAAGCUAUAAGAAUUGGACAUUUCACGGAGAACCUUGGGAAGCAACUACUAAUGCUAGUAGAAAUGUUGAAGAAGAUGAUGGCCAUAGUAGGUACAGUUUUGUGUCUGAAGAAAUUGAUAUGGAUGAUAAUGAUUUUGGUUCCGAUCCGUAUGAGUUUGCCAAUGUGAUUGGGGAUGGAGAUCAACCAGUGUACCCUGGUUGUAGAAAGUACACGAAGUUAUCGGCAUUAGUGAAGUUGUAUAAUUUGAAGGCAAAACAUGGGAUGAGUGAUGUCUGUUUUACAGAAUUAUUGAUACUUCAAGGCGAUUUCCUUCCAGAAUGAAAUACAAUACCAACCUCUAUGUAUGAGGCUAAAAAGACUUUGUGUGCAUUGGGGCUGAGUUAUGAGAAAAUGCACGCAUGCCCCAAUGAUUGCAUCUUGUAUAGGAAGGAGUAUGAGAAUUCAACUAAUUGUCCUACUUGUGGUAUCUCAAGGUGGAAGGAAGGCAAAGAUUCAAUCUUGAAAGAGGGUGUGCCAGCGAAGGUGGUGUGGUAUUUUCCUCCAAUUCCAAGGUUUAAAAGGAUGUUUCAAUCACAUGAGACAGCUAAGAGUUUGACUUGGCAUGCUGCUAGAAAAUCAAUUGACGGUCAGAUGUCUCAUCCGGCGGAUUCCCCGUCUUGGAAACUUCUUGAUGAUAAAUGGCCUGAGUUUGGUAAUGAGCCGAGAAACUUGAGAUUGGCUCUUUCAUCUGAUGGAUUCAAUCCCCACAGUUCUCUAAGUAGCAGAUAUAGUUGUUGGCCGGUUAUCUUAGUUACAUAUAAUCUCCCUCCAUGGCUGUGCAUGAAACGAAAGUUCAUGAUGUUAACCUUAUUGAUUUCCGGUCCUAAACAACCCGGAAAUGAUAUAGACGUCUACUUGGAGCCUUUGAUUGAUGAUUUAAAAUCUUUGUGGGAUGGGAUUAGAGGAGUGUAUGAUGCACAUAAUAGAGAAUACUUUACACUCAGAGCUGCAUUAAUGUGGACAAUUAAUGAUUUCCCCGCCUAUGAAAACUUAUCUGGUUGUGUUGUUAAAGGAUAUAAAGCUUGUCCAAUAUGCGGCGAUGAUACACCUAGUCACAGGUUGAAAAAUGGCCACAAAAUUUGUUACAUUGGGCAUAGAAAAUGGUUACCAAUCAAUCAUCCAUAUAGGAGGCAACGUGCAGCUUUUAAUGGGAAACCUGAAUAUGGCAUACCUCCCGAGCCAUUAACCGGAGAAGAAGUGCUGCAUAUGGUUGAAAAUGGUGACAGAGUUUGUUGGAAGAAGAAAUCAAUAUUCUUUGAUCUCGAGUAUUGGAAAUACCUUCCUGUGAGGCAUGCCCUAGAUGUUAUGCACAUUGAGAAGAAUGUUUGCGAUAGUAUUAUUGGUACAUUGUUGGAGAUCCCUGGAAAAAAUAAAGAUGGGAUUGCUGCUCGAUUAGAUUUAUUGAACAUGAGGGUCAAAACUGAUUUGCAACCCGAGUAUGGAGAAAGACGUACUCGUUUGCCUCCUGGGCCUUGGAAUUUGUCAAGAGCAGAGAAGAGAGAGGUUUGCAAUUCUUUCUAUGGUAUGAAGGUCCCUGAAGGUUAUUCUUCAAAUAUUAAAAAUCUUGUAUCUUUACAAGAUUCAAGACUUCUUGGCCUUAAAUCACAUGAUUGUCAUACCUUAAUGCAACAAUUGCUCCCUGUGGCAAUUCGUUCUGUUUUGGAGAAGCCUGCAAGGUAUGCAAUAACUCGUUUGUGCUUCUUCUUCAAUGCUAUAUGUGCAAAGACUGUUGAUGUUUCCAAGCUAGAUAAGUUGGAAGAAGAUGUAGUAAUUACUCUGUGUUUGCUUGAGAAGUACUUUCCCCCUUCAUUCUUUGAUAUCAUGGUUCAUCUAGUAGUACAUCUUGUCAGAGAAGUUCGUCUAUGUGGGCCAGUAUAUUUUAGGUGGAUGUAUCCGUUUGAAAGAUAUAUGAAAGUGCUGAAGGGGUAUGUUCAGAAUCGUACUCGUCCCGAAGGUUGCAUUGCUGAGCGGUAUAUAGCUGAAGAAGCGGUAGAGUGUUGUACUCAGCAUUUAUCUGAUGUUAGUACAGUUGGAGUGCCUUCAAGCCAAAAGAUGGGACUUUCAAAGCCAUUAUCAGGUUGCACAGUGAGCGUAGUUGAUCAGGACCUGUUGAAUCAAGCACAUCUAUAUGUCUUGGAGAAUACGGAGGAAGUCCUACCUUAUAUCGAGUACGUAUGAGCUUUAUUCUUUAAGUUUCCAUUUUAAAUUAUUUCUUAUGUUUAUCUUCUAUAUUUAGGACCGUAAUGCUUGAAUUUUUCGUGUCAUGUAGGCAACAUAUGAUUCACAUCAAGACUGCUUAUCCAAAAUUUAGAAAGAGAACAAAGUGGCUGCAGGAUAAGCACAAUAGCACUUUCAUUCAAUGGCUACGCUUCAAGGUAUAUGUUGUUGAAUAACAUAUUUCUCUUUUAAUUUUCUUCUUAUUUAUAUGUUAGAUUGAAUUAAGAUAUGAUUAAUUUGCAGGUUCAAAGUGAACUUGAGGAAGACAAUCAUGGCGUAUCAGAAAAUUUAAGGUGGCUAGCAGCUUGUCCAAACAUGUCAGUGCCAUUAUAUAGGAGCUAUCUUAUUAAAGGUAUUAAAUUCAAUAUCAAGGCACAAGAUGAUGUGCGGACAACUCAAAAUAGUGGAGUUUAUUUACUUGCACAUACCAUGCAAGUUGCUAGUGCCAAGGAUAAAAACCCAAUUCUCUCAAAUAUGGGUUUCUAUGGUGUCAUUCAAUAAAUUUGGGACCUUGACUACCAAAAGUUUACAAUCCCAGUCUUUAGGUGUGAUUGGAUAGAUAGUUCUGGUCUUGUAGUCGACGAACUUGGAUUUACCCUUGUAGAUUUGAGUAAAAUUGGACAUAGGAAUGACCAAUUUGUUUUGGCUUCUCAAGUCAAACAAAUAUUUUUUGUUGACGACCCGAUGCAUCGUGGUUGGUCGGUAGUGUUAUCAAUGCCUAAUAGAGAAUAUAAUGAUGUUAUUGGUGAUGAAGUCUUAGGUGAUGUGAUAAUUGAGUAUGAGCCAUUUACUAGAGGGAUGCCAAAUGUUGACACAUUUGAUGAACUGGUAGGUGAGUUAGGCGGUCAAAAUAUUCGAGAUGGGUGUGAAGAUAUAUGGAUUGAAUGAUGCUUAUGUAAUUGGCAGUGUAUGACAUUAAUUUUGUAAUAUAUUGUAAUGCGAUUUCUUCACUUUCUACGUUCAAAUAAAACACGACGUUAUUGUGAAUCAGUUAUUCAGCAUAUUUACCGACGUCUUAAAGCAACGUAACAAUGAAGAACCACGACGCUAUUGUGAAGCAAUUAUUCAGGAUAUCACGUCGGUGAAGCAUUAAGAACCGCCAUGUAAUUCAGAAUAACACGACUCCAAUCCCAUAAUACCGACGUCUAAAAAACGAGAUAUAUAAUCUGAACGUUAAAAAAUACGACGUCAUCAUACAUUUUCCACGUCGCAAGUUCUUUUAUAAACGAAGAGGAACGAAAUGAAUUCCGACGGAAGUUCAUUAUAACCGCCGUUUAAUAACAAUUAAACGACGUUAUUUGUAAUACGACUCUCAUCAUAAUCUACGCCGUCUAUAUGUUCUGUAAUACGGCUCUCAUUUAUUUGGAACCGACGUUGUUUAGAAGUUCAACGUCGUCUAUAUUAUUAAGUGCGUCGUGAGUAAUGAAUACAUAUAAAUACAACGUCGACUAUAUAAAUGUAUACGUCGUAAAUAAUGACACUGACAACUAUUUCCACGUCAUAUUUUUUAGAAAAAUCGAAGUGGAAAAUUUAUUUCACGACGGUUUUUUGUAAAUAAGAGACGUAGUAGAUUUCAAUAACGUCGUCUUCUCAUGUAUUUAAAGACGUCAUAUUUUUUCUUGUCGGGUAAAUUAUAUUUAACGGCGUAGUAUUUUAGUUGUCGUCGUUGUAUGUAUAUCUUGCGGCCUUGUUCUUUUAAUAUAUGUCAUAUUUUUCCUUUUUAACGACGGUGAUUUUUUUGAGUUGGUCGUCUAUUCUCAUCCUCGACUAUUUUCUAGAACUUUAGCAGACUAAACACGUCUGUUUUUAUUUUUUUCCGACGUUGUUUUAUUUAACAACGUCUAAUAUUUAUCGUCGUUGUUUGUUUCUGAAAAUAGGACGUAUAAAUUUUGUAAUACGACUCUCAUAUAUUUGUAACCGACAUUGUUUAGUUUUUCAACGUCUACUCUAUUAACAUAUACGUCGUAAAUAAUGACACUGACAACUAUUUCCACGUCAUCUUUUAUCGAAAAAUCGAAGUGGAAAAUUAAUUUUACGACGGUUGUUUUUAUAUAUGCGACGUAGUAGGUAUCAAUAACGUCGUUUUCUAAUGUAUUUAAAGACAUCAUAUUUUUUAUUGUCGUGAAAAUUAUAUUUAACGUCGUCGUAUUUGUAUUUUCGUCGUUGUAUGUCUAUCUUGCGGCCUUGUUCUGUGUCAUAUUUUUCCUUUUUAACGACGGUUUUUUUAGAGAGUUGGUCGUCUAUUAUCAUCCUCGAUUGCUUUUUUUAGAUCUUUUUGCAGUACAAAGACGUCGUUUUGUAUUUGUUGAUGACGUUGUAUAUUUUAACAACGACGGUUAUUUAGCAUCGUGGUUUAUGAGGGAAAAGAUGACGGUGGAUUCCACGACCAUUGAAAAACCCAAUACACGACGGUGAUUUACCGUCGUCUUUUUGCUUUUUUGUAGUAGUGAAACUUGGUGUGAAAUCAACUCAAAACUUAAAGGGGAGUAUAGAAUUGUAAGUAGUGAGCCUGAUUUACUUUUAAGCCUAGAGUGUUAAUUGUGUAUUCACUUAGUCCUAGAAAAUGACAAGUGUAAGGCUUCAAACAUGGAAAGGCUAAAAUAGCCAAGAGCUAGAAUUAAGACAGAUGGAUGGCUGAGAUUCACUGAUGCUUGUGUGAAUCCAGCUAAGAGCUAACGGUCAUGUAGUACAUGCCGUGUGAGCUCAUUUUCAUAUAUAGAGAAUAUACAAAAGCCUUGCUCACUGAGUUUGUGAGUAAGUAGAGCAAAACUAACACCUGUGACUUGCAUAGUUUCAGAUGGUGGCAUGUCCACGUUCACAAUCACAGCUGCUGAAGAAAUCAGAGUCCCUAUCGUGCUAUUCUACACUAUAGCUGCCUGCAGCUUCAUGGGAAUUAAACAACUUCGCGCUGUGGUUGAAAAAGGACUUGCUCCACUCAAAGGUGAAAUAUAUAACUAUUAAUUGAAGCAAUUGUUGUUUAACUUAUGGUUAACUCUUAACUGCUUGUUUCUAAAAAUGCAAAUGAAAUGUUUCUUCAAUUGAAUUUCAUUUGUCUAUCGCAGAUGAGAGCUGUUUCACAAAUGGCUAUCUGGACACAGUAAUAGAUUGGAUCCCGGGAAUGAGAGAUAUCCGUUUGAGGGAUCUCCCGACCAUCUUGCAAACCACAAAUGCGGAUGACACCAAGUUUAACUUCAUCAUGGAAGCAACUGAUAGAGCUCAUGAAGCUUCGGCAGUUGUUAUUCAUACUUUUGAUGCCUUGGAGCCAGAUGUUUUGGAUGCUCUCUCAUCUAUGCUUCCCCAUGUGUACACCGUUGGCCCUCUUCAAUUGCAUCUCAAUCAGAUACCAGAGCACCCUUUGAAAAUGGGAUACAGUCCAUGGAAAGAAGAAACUGAAUGCCUCGAGUGGCUAAACACCAAGGCACCAAACUCAGUUGUCUAUGUGAAUUUCGGCAGUGUAGCAGUCGUGACACCAGAACAGCUUGUGGAGUUUGGGUGGGGACUUGCAAAUAGCAAGCUUCCAUUCUUUUGGGUAAUUAGACCUAAUCUAGUUUUUGGAGAAUCCGCUAUUUUGCCGCCGGAGUUUGUGGCUGAAACUAAGGAAAGAAGUCUAAUAGCUGGGUGGUGCCCACAAGAGCAAGUCCUUAACCACCCAUCAGUUGGAGGAUUUUUAACGCACAGCGGUUGGAAUCAACAGUUGAGAGCAUUACUGCAGGAGUUCCUAUGCUCUGUUGGCCAUUCUUUGCAGACCAGCAAAUGGACUGUCGCUAUACUUGCAAUGAAUGGGGCAUUGGGAUGGAGAUUAGUAAUGAUGUGAAGAGGGAUGAGGUAGAGAAGCUUGUCAAAGAGAUAAUGGAGGGAGAGAAGGGUAACCACUUGCAGAAGAAGCUACUGGGCCACAUGGUUCUUCAUCCACAAACUUGGACAAUUUAGUGAAUCAAGUGCUAUUAAGAAAAAGCUAAAGAUUUUACCAUAAGCUAAAGAAUAUUGAUGUUAAUUAUUAUUUUUAUUGCUAUUGUCUCAAAUAAUCAACUAGCUAGUUUUUUUAUAUAAAAAAAAUCAUAAUUUUUAAGUCUUUUACUCAGGCCCGUAAAACCUGUGUUACUAUAUCUAGAAUUUUGUUUUGCUCAAAUUAUAUAUUGUUGUCUUCCAUAAAUACUAUAUGCUUCAGUGUUGACAGCUUACAACUCUAAUUGCAAAGACAAUUCAGAUGGUAAAUAAAUAUCUAAGCAAUAGAAAGAAAUAAUGAGAAAAUAUUAUAAUUACCAAAGAAGACAGUGAUAUAUACAAAAGGUUAUACUGCGACACAAAUUCGCCACAAAUCAAGAAAGUUUUUUUUUUUUUUUUUUUGAAGACCUUUAACUUUGAAAGGGGCGAUAACAUACUAAACUCACACACACACUAGAUGGAUGUUAAUUAGGAUUCGAACCCAAGAUCUUUCUUGAGGGAGCAUUUGCUUCAAACCACUACACUAGUGGGUCCUUUGCAAUCAAGAAUGUUUUAGAUCUUCAUCCAUGAUUUUAUACUGUUUAAACAAAUCCUCUUAAUUACUUGACGUAUUCGACAUCUGAUUAAGGUUUCACUCUAAAGUCUCAUCAGUUAUCAAAUUAUACAUAAGUUUGAUUGCUAAUUAAGCUUCUUUGUUGACAGUCUCCUUUGAUCUCCUAAAAUGGCUGCGGUCAAUGCAUCAAUGCUUAUGUGUCAAAUUCUCUUCAACAGUUUCUUCACCUCAGUAAGGAUUGAAAAGAACAAGAAAAAAAAAAAAAAGAGAAGUGGAAGUGGAAGUGGAAGAAACAGCAAUUAAAAAACUGCUUCAGUUUGUCGGGUGUUCUCCCAAACUGAGGUUCUAAGGGGAGCGCAGAUGACCUGGGAAAAAAACGGUGGCUUUUAUUUUGUGUGUGGAAAUUGAGUUUGAUUCUAAGUGUGCCAUCUGUUUAGCUUUCGGCAUGUGUUGAGCAACAUUAAUUUGAUGAUGGUGGUAUGGCUAACCUGGGCCUUACCAUUGAAUAUUUUUUUUUGGGUUCAAAAGUAAGGUCUUCUUUUUUUUUCUUUUCUUUUUUUUUUCUUUUUUCUUUUUUUUUUUUUUUGUGUGUGGACAGAAUUAGAAGGUCCUUACUAUUGAUUUGGCUCCUAGGAAACUUGUCAUCCCCAGUCUUUUUUAUUUUAUUUUUAAUAUAAGCGAUAAUCUAAACUACGAAGGGGAGGGAGUUUCUCGACACAUACACUACCAAAGUGCCAUGGGGAUUUGAACUUGAGAUCAUUGAUCUGCAUAUCAAAACCCUUUUCAAUUAUGCUAGACCUCGUUGGCCACACCAGUCUAUUCUUAAUUUGCUUGUUGAGGAUUAUGUUAGGUUUUGUAAUUAGGAGCAAAUUAUGGUUCACUAGUAUUCGAUGCGAAAACAAGGGCAAAUCUAUAUGCCACUCCAGCCCAGUGCUGAAUUUUUAGAAUAUACAAACUUAGGCAGUUGUCCAAGCCCAAACUAGGUAAAUCAAAUAUUAGUCCACCCCUCUAUUUUAAAAUAAGGCCACCUCUGCAUAAAUCCAACCAUUGGAUUGACUAGAAUACAUGCGAUGCAACUUUGGAGCGUCUUACUGUGAUGAGAUUUCCUUCCAGCAUGUCCUUCAGGAAGCUAACUUCACUGCUGACGCUUUAGCUAAUAUAGGCCACAAUCUGAACACUUCCCACCUUUGGGAUCGGGGUCUUCCUUUAAGUUGCUCGACUCCCUUCUACUUUGAUCUAGUUGGGCCUGUGUGCCCUCGUGGUUUCCGUUUGUAAUUUUUUUGUUUCCGUUUGUAAAUAUUGUUGAUAUGUGGUCAUGUUGGCCUCACCACCCCUAAAAUAAGGCCCCACGUGCCUCCAUAAAGGUAAAUAUAAUAUUGUUUAUUAUAAAAGUGAAUGAUAAUUUCCUUUUGGACUAACGACAUUUCACUCUAUUGAGGUUUAGGGUUUGUAUCGAAAUAGGCCCCGAGAUUUCAAUUUCAUCGAUUCCAAAUCCUGUCUUAACAUCCUCAAUACUUAAUAUAUUUCAUCUAAAGCCAAGCAAGAAAGGAGCUGGUGCUUUUAAAGCCCCACUGGCCUCAACUUCAUGUCAACUAAUGCUUCAACUGCAAGAUCAAAUGGUGUAGAUGAAGCAUAAUGAAGAAAGGGAUCAUUAAGGUAUUUGGUUGUUAGAUUAGCAUUUUGUGAUGUAAUUGGUUUUUGUUGUUGGUUAAUUGGUCCUAGGGUUUAGGCCUUGUUGUUUUUGGUAAAUUGGUCCUAGAGUCUGACUGCAAGAGUGCCUAUGAUCUGCUGGCCAUUCUUUGAUGACCAGAGAACCAAUUGUUAUUAUACUUGCAAUGAAUUGGGCAGUGGCAUGGAGAUUGAUAACAAUGUCAAGAGAGAUGAAGUGGAGAUGCUUGUUAGAGAGUUUAUGAAGGGAGAGAAGGGUAAGAAAUUGAAAAGGUAGGCUGACUGGAAGAAACUAGCAGAAAAUGCAACUGAUCCACAUGGCUCCUAAUCCAUUAACUUAGAUAAUUUAGUCCAUCAAGUGCUGUUAAGAAAAAAAAAACUAGAUGUUAUCCAUAUCCAUAUUCAUAUAAAUAAAAAAUCGCCACAUUAUUGUUGGUAUCUCUAUUAUUAUUAUUCAUGUAUGAUGUCAUGCGGAGUCUAAUAGCAUGUUUUCUUUUCACUAUUAGAAAAGUCACUUAUAAGCCACACAUUACAUGUGGCCAACAUUCAUGUUGGCUACAAACAACCGUGGCCAAAGAGUAUUGCCUUUUACUUUUGGCCACGACAAAAAUGUCUGUAACCUAUAGGUGGUAGAUCCCACCAUGUCUCCCCACCCUUACAAAUGCCUGCAUUCACUAAUUAAAAUAUUAAUAUUUUUUAAAUCCCCGUAAUCAUUACCAAAUGAUGAAGAUAGCUAGUACAUUUUUUUUGUUUUGUGAGCCACUGUUCUUUUAGAGACGUUCUAACAAUUAUCUUCCUUUGUUUUAAUUUCUAUUUCUUAUUUUGUUCUUAAAAAAAAAAAAAUAUUGAAAGAAGUAAAUAAAAUAAACUUUGGAUAAACUGUGGUGAGGGAUUUGGAAUAGUACAUAAAAUAUUGGGAAAUACGCGGCUUUGCCCCUGGCGCACAUGUUUUUUUCACUAAUAUCCCUUCUUUGAAACCUAAUUAAAAAUGCCCUCUAUAAAACCUCCCUAAUGCCUGUGUAUUGCCCUUGUAUCACUUUUUUUUUGUGGUUCUGAGCUCAGAGCUCUCACUCUCACUCACUCACCCACUCACCUCUUCUCUUGUCUGUUCUCUCUCCCUUUCACCCACAUUGGCGACAGCAAUUGUCACCUCCUCAGAACCCACAUCGGCGACGACGACCUCACUCUCUCUCUUUUGGCCGCUAUUCUUCACCUCCAUCUCUCACUCUCUGUCACCUAUUUCAACCGCCGUUCUUCCCCUCCGGUUCAACAAAUUUCUCAAUUUUCUUCAGCAUUCCUGAAAUCCAUAUAACUAGAGAUGACAUCCCAGGUACCCAGCUCAACUUUACGCCUUUACUUUCAUACCCAUAUGUUAGUUGGGUUUUCUUCUGCUUGUUUCAAUUUCAUAUAGUGGUUUAGAAAGUUGCUCAAAAUCCAAAUUCUUGGUACAUCGUUUUAUUUAUCAUGCUUAUUUGCUUGUUCUGAAUAUAUGAUUCUAUUUGUUUGGUUAGGCUGAGUUGAUGAGUGCAUGAAAAAAUGGCCUGUAGGCGUUCGAUGAAUCACCUUAAUGAGGCGCACUAUGGUUUUCUUUGAGAUAUAAACCAAUUGGGACAAUUCUCACGGUAUAUACUUAAAGGUGAACUUCUAGGAGGACCCAAUGAACCCAUCUAAAUGGAAGGAAGAACAUGUGAAUUUUAUUAUAAUUUGUUUACGAAGAUGUCUUUACAGUGCAUAAUGGUUUUGUUAGAUCGCCAUUGACAUUAGUUUAAUUACCUUUUAACAAUGCUUGAGAAAUGUCCCUGUUUUUACAUGAAGACUUACACAAGCACCAUAUUAUGUCAGUUUAUAGUGAAUGGAUACUUGGUUGUGUCAUUUGAUAUUUGGAAUUCUAUUAGAUUUAUUUUCUUAUUUUUCAACUUUUGGGUCAUGCCUUGAGUUUCUUUCAUUUCGACAUCGGCAUUUAACUUGUGCUGUGAACAAGUUAAUGUUAGAUUUCUUUAAUACACAAACUGGAUCUUUCACGCAAAUUGUAACAUGUAUAAAGACAUGAAGACAUACCAAAAGCCAUCUUCUUUGAGUACACAGCUUCUGAACUCAUCCAAUCCGUAGCAGCAGCAAUCCUAGCAAGAACAAGAAUAGCUCAAGACUUAUGCUCUCUCUCAUAAUCUAUUUUAGCUCUCUCUUUAUCAUGAGAAUAGGUUUAGAGAACGUGUCUGAUGAGAGCAGGGCCUUUAGCUUAUAUAGGGCUAGGUCAAGUCGUCUCUACUCAUCACCAAGGGCCGACUUGACUUAUCUUCCAAGCCCAGUUAAUCGAGUCACGCAUAAAUGGAAAUAAAAUAGGACCCCUUAAUAGGCCUCAAAACCCUUCCUUAUUUCACUAGGUUUUGGACCUCAAGGUACAACUUAAUUUAAACUCUUAUCAAACCUGAUAUGACUUAGUAUCUAGUGCACCGAUCUAAAUAGAAAAACAUAACAUUCUCCCACUAGAUCAAGCACUAGAACACUAAGCUUCUGUAUUCCGAAAGGUUUGAUUAUCUUCAUUGGCCAUGAGUCUAAAACAGUUAAGUCCUUCCCCUCAAGCUACCGUGAAAAGUGAUUAAACAAAACGAACUAUAGAGAAGCACUGCUCUCUUUAUUAAAAACAGGUCAUCUAUAAUUACAUGAUGCAAUCUCAAAACACAUGAAGCACCUACAACGCGAACCUUAAUAUGUACUGAUCCUUAAUGUGAAUCUUUAUGCAUUUCAGUACAAGUACCCCUUUACGACUUAGCAACAGUCAAUCCGCAAUGUUAUUAAAAAUAAUAGUAUCUCUAAAGAAACCAUAAACUCACAUGCAUAAUAAGUUUAAAUAGCUAAAUAGUCAAAAUGGUAGAAUUUAUUCAAUAAAAAAUAAAACUGUCAACCAAAUUGACAUCCUUAAAUGCAAAUCCCUUAAUCCAGAAAAACAGCAAAAUAAACAAACCAAACAAACUAGUAAAAAUAUCAUAAUGGGAACAAGACUCCCACUAGAUUGUAGCAUCAAAGCUAGGAAAAAGUCCCAUGCUCUCAACAUUUCUCAGAAAAAGCUUCCGAAGGCAAAAACUUUGUGAACGGAUCUGCAAUCAUAUCUUGAGUUCUAAUAUGAUCAAAUCUGACUAGUUUGUCCGCUACCUUCUCCCUCACUAUUAAAUACUUUCUGUCAAUAUGCUGAAGUUCAAAUGACAUCUUCUUGUUCAUGCAGUGAAAAACAAUCGCAGUGUUGUCAUUAUAUAUCUGUAUUGGUCUAUAAAUCGAGUUCACCACCUUAAUAUCUUUAGUAAAAUUCCUUAGCCAUACUGCAUGAGAAGUGGCUUCAUAGCAAGCUAUGUAUUCUGAAAACAUGGUUGAACUCGAAACAUGCGUAUGUAAAUCAACAUAUAAGCCUUUGUUCUAUGUAGGUCCCUCAAAACCUUCUUUCCAACUAUCCAAUGUUGCAUUCCCGGAUUUGACUGAAAUCUCCCCAUCUAGCUAAUGCACAAGGCUAGGUCUAGCCUUGUACACACUUGUGCAUAAAUAAUGCUUCCAACUAGAGAAGCGUAUGGCUUGUUCCUCAUCUCAUCUUCUUCUUCUUUAUUCUUGGGGCAAUGCUCCUUCUUUAAAUCUCCUUUAGCUAAUGAAACUUUCUGUCCAGAACACAUACACAUGUCAAAACACUUGAGUACCUUAUCAAUGUAUGUCUUCUGUGAUAGGCCUAGAAGGCCUCAAGCCCGGUCUCUCUGAAUCUCAAUGCCCAACACAAGAGCAGCUUCUCCCAAAUCCUUCAUCUCAAAAUUAUUUGAAAGUAGUUCCUUGGUGUCUUUCACUAAAUUGUGGUCAUUUGUAGCCAAAAGUAUGUCGUCGAUAUACAGCACCAGAAAAAUAAAUCGACUCCCACAUUUCUUUAGAUAAAGGCACUGGUUAGCUAUGUUCUCUUCAAAACCAUAAUAGGAAAUAGUUUGGUGGAAUUUGAAAUACCACCUCCUGCUUGCUUGCUUCAGUCCAUAAAUUUCCUUGCCAAGUUUGCAAACUAUAUGCUUUUUGUCCUUCACCAAAUUGUGGUCAUUUGAAGCCAAAAGUAUGUCGUCGACAUACAGCACCAGAAAAAUAAAUUGACUCCCACAUUUCUUCAAAUUAAUGCACUGGUCAGCUAUGUUCUCUUCAAAACCAUAAGAGGAAAUAGUUUGGUGAAAUUUGAAAUACCACCUUCUGCUUGCUUGCUUCAGUCCAUAAAUUGCCUUGCCAAGGUUGCAAACCAUAUGCUCAUUUCCUCCUUUGCAAACUCUUCAAGUUGCCUUAUAAAAUUUUCCUCUUCAAGUUCUCCAGUCAUGGAAGUAGUUUUUAGAUCCAUUUGAUGUAAAAGUAGGUCAUAAUGGCCCACCAAAACCAUAAUGACGUGGAAAAAUCUUUGGUGGAAAUUGGAGAAAAUGUCUCAGUAUAAUCAAUUCCCCCCCUUUGGGUAAAUCUUUUGGCUACCAAUCUAGCCUUAAACCUUUCGAUUCUUUCAUCCUUAUCUUUCUUUUGUUUUGAAUAUCCAGUUCGAGCCUACCAAUUUCUGGCUCUUGUGGGGUUUAACUAAUUCCCAUACUUGAUUAUUCUUCAUGCUCUCAAGUUCUUUCAACAUCGCUUCCCUCCAUUUGUCUGCAUUUUGACUUUCCAUUGCUUUUCUAAAACUUGUUGGAUCAGCCUCAUCUCCAUUGUCAAAUCUGCUUCUUUAAAGUACACAUAAUCUGAAUUUGUUGUGGAUCUUCUUGAUCUGUCAGCUCUCCUCAGUUGUACAGGUUCUUGUGGAUCAUCCAGCUCAGGAUUCUCAACAACUUGUUCUUGUGGUUCAACUGGUUCUUCAAAUUGAGGAUUUUCCAAUACAGUUUUACUUAAAGGAAUCAAGGGUGUAACAUCUUGUUUAGCAUUCUCAAUCACAGCUACAUCACCUUUUUCUUCAAAAUAAAAUCUUUAUUCCCAGUGGCAUUCUCCUCAUGCUCUAUAAACUUUGCACAACCAGUCUCAACAAUUCGGGUACCAUAUUUUGGACAAUAAAAUCUGAAACCCUUUGACCUUGCGAGAUAACCUAUAAAAUGACAUCUUAUCGUUUUAGGAUCAAGCUUCUACUCUCGAGGGUUAUAGAUUCUAGCUUCAGCCUUGCAACCCCAUACAUGAAGAUAUCUUAGGCUAGGUUUUCUGGUAGUCCAAAUUUUAAAAGGUGUCUUAGGUACGCAGUUACUAGGCACUCUAUAGUUUGUUGUUUUUUAUCGCCUCUCUUAAAAUUGUAGGCAAAUCAGUUCUAGAAAUCUUGCUAAGGACCAUGUCCUUCAAGGUUCGAUCCUUUUUCUCAGCCACACCAUUCUGUUGCAAAAUUCAUGGUGUUGUGUACUGAGUAACUAUUCUAUUAUCUUGUAGGUACCUAGCAAAAAGUCCAGCAUGUCGUCCUCCUUCAUCAAAAUGUCUUUAAUCCUUUUCUUAAGCUGCCUUUCUACUUCAGUUUGGAAAAUCUUAAACAUUUCAAAGCUUCAGACUUUUUUAUGCUAUGAGAUACAGAUAACCAAAACGAGAAUGGUCAUCUAUAAAGGUGAUGAAAAAGCGAUUUCCAUGAAUUGUUUGAUGAGGGAAAGGUCCACAAAAAACUAUGUGGAUGAACUCUAAAAGUAUCACUAUCGCGAGUUGCACCUUUCUUCUUAGUCUUAGUGAGUUUUCCUUUGACACACAUAAUACAAAUUUCAUCAUCACCGAAAAAUAGUGAUGGCAAGAUUUGUUCCUUAACUAGAAUUUUCAUUCUUUCUUUUGAAAUGUGCCUUAAAUGCCUAUGCCAUUCAAACUUUACUAUCUUUAUUGUAAUUGAGACAACAUAAUCCAUCUUUAUUAUCUUUGAAUUUUGAGAUACAAACACAUCUUUAUUGAAACCAAAAUAAAACCAAGUCUUAAUAAUCUUGAAACAAAAAUUGAAUUUCUCUUUAUUUAGGGUACUGAAAACUACAUCAUCCAACUCUAAAAGAAAUCCUGAAUUCAACUUAAAAAAUAACUACUCCAAUAAUAUUUAAGGAAAACAACAGGUAGCUAUCUAAUCCUCCUUGUCACAACUUGCUGCCAUGAAAGUGUUGUUCUCUCUAGCAGGGAAUGGGUCAAGUACCACUAUCUCUCUAUUAGUGGCGGCAUCUAAAUUCUCAACAUGUGAUUCAGGUUGGGGUUUAGGUUUCACAGAUUUCACUAGGAGAUUCUUGUAUCGAAGUAGCUUAUUGAUAUUUCUUCCUCUCCUAUAAGCGCAUACACUAAGAUUUAUAGAGGUCCUAAGACUUUUGAGACUGUCCUUUGUAGUCGUGUAUAUCCUUAUGGGCCCUCCAUAUGGUUAACAAUUUCGCUGCGCCUUAACCCUUUUUCGCUCCAGCUCAUCUUCGUGCCACUUCUUAAUUAACUCCACUGUAUUCUUUACUAGAAUGCCAUUCAUGACAAGUUGGCAUGAGUGAUACCUAUUGAAUGCCAGAUUUUUUUUUUUUUUCACCUAAGCUCUAGGAGUUAUACUACAAGACACAUAAGUGAAAAGGCUAACGUGAAUUAAAUAUAGCCAUGAGUGAGAUCAUAAACGAUCUCAUUCAUUCCGACAAUAACUUUAAAACCAAACGUCCAUAAAUUAAAGUUUGAUCUAAUGAAUCUUUCAAUUUGCGUGAAAUUGAUUGAGGGAGUGUUUAAAGCUGUAAGGAUUUGCAAACAAAAGCAUAUUACUUUCCUAGAAAUCGAUUCUCAAUUUGUUAAGAGAAAACAGUUUAACUUUAUUCACAGAACUAACAAAUAAUAUAUGCAAGCGUCCUUAAUUAAGUAUCACACCUUUGUGGCAAGAGAUUACUUAUAGCUUACACAAAUUACAUAUUAUCUUGUGCCAUCACAAAUAAAUUACAUGACAGAUUCUAUUUGUUAAAGAAACUUAUCAAGCAAUUUAGGUAUGAUGUAAUUUUCGAUUAUUUCUUUAGGGUUUGAGUAUUUAGGUUUGGUUUUGUUAUGAAAAGUUUGUUGAUUCCCAUAACAAAGACAAACAUAUAUCUGACUCAGAAAAAUAACCAAACAAAACACAGUUCAACAAGGAAAACCCUAAAAUUGCAGUGAAUAGUGUUUCGGCCGUGAACAGUGUUUUAGAUGUGAACAGUGUUUCGGCAGCGAACAAUGUUUUAGGGGUUCUUAGUGUCCGUUUUUGACACAAAAUACCUUUCUGCAUAGGGAAAGACCUAAUUAACACAACUCACAAAGAAGUUGUGACAUAUGGCCAUUUUUAGGGUUUUAAGGUGAUCUGCUAGGUCAAAAACGUGUUUAAAGUUUUUGAAAAUAUGAAAACCAAAUCAAAACAUGCUUUUCCAUAUUCUUGAUAUUUUCAUAAACAUAUUUAAACCAUCUUCAAAAAUUAAACAUAACCAAAAGAACUGAGCAUGGCAUAAACUGAUAUGAAAUCAUGGUAGACAUGCUUGAACAACGAUUACAGAUAAGUGCGAACAACCUUAAGCUCUGAUACCAACUGUGAGAUUUAUUUAAUACACAAACUGGAUCUUUCACACAAACUGUAACACGUAUAAAGACAUGAAGACAUACCUGGAGCCAUCUUCCUUGAGUACACAGCUUCUGAACUCAUCUAAUCCGUAGCAGCAGCAAUCCUAGCAAGAACAGGAACAACUCAAGACUUCUGCUCUCUCUCAGAAUCUAUUUCAGCUAUCUCUUUAUGAUGACAAUAGGUUUAGAGAAAGUGUCUGAUGAGAGCAGGGCCUUUAGCUUAUAUAGGGCUAGGUCAAGUCGUCUCUACUCAUCACUGAGGGCCGACUUGACUUAUCUUCCAAGCCCACUUAAUCGGGCCACGCAUAAAUGGAAAUAAAAUAGGACCCCUUAAUAGGCCUCAAAACCCUUCCUUAUUUCACUAGGUUUUGGGCCUCAAGGUACAACUUAAUUUAAACUCUUAUCAAAUCUGAUAUAACUUAGUAUCUAGUGCACCGAUCUAAAUAGGAAAACUUAACAGUUAAUACUACAUUGUUUUGUGUCAUUGUGAAAUUGAGAAAUAAAGUUCAUGUUAUUAUUUUGCAGGAAUUCUAAGUGCUAUGAUAUGGCAAAAAAGUAUGUGAACAAACAAAAGAAACAUAGAAAAGGUCUGAUGCUGCUACUUCACAUGGCCAGGUUUUGCUGCUGCUUCGUCUUCCUCAUUUACCUAAAAGAAAGGGUCUAUAUCUCUAGCAUUUGCAUCCAAAUGUCCCUUGCCAUGCCAUGCCCUACCCUGCCCUUCUGUACUAGCUAGCACUACAGCCCCUGUUGUACGUGGUCCCCUGAUUUGGUUCCUUUGAGCCAUGCGAUGCUUUCAGCUUCCUAGAUCCAACUCCAAUGACUAUUUUUUAUUAAGUCAUAAUUUACUGCCUAUAAUUAGGACCUGCGGUUUGAAAUUUUUAAUUUGGAACAAUUCAUGUACUGUUAAAACAUAAAUGGUGCAAAGCCAAUGCCGAGAAUAGAAAAAAUAAGCAAUAUGAUCAUACGGCGGUUAACACCCAUGUAGAUAUGCACUGAUCAUCAAGCUUGAGCAGUAAGGCCUUUCGUCUUGUGCUUGGUAGGUUUGCUUUUCCUCGUCCAUUAGAUGUUUUCCAAUUCUGAGGUGAUAUGAUACUCUUCCUCUUGGCAUUAUUCUCAUGGCUGUGAAAUUUCAGUUUGCAAUGAAUGACUAUAUCAAUCUAAAAGAUUAUUUUUGUGUAGAAAUUGAAUGAAAGUAAAUUGUACUGCAUACCUCUGUGGUGUCUAUGUUCUGGAGUUAAUGUUGUUGAUCAAUGAUCAGCCUCUUUCAUAAUUCUUUCAUUGAUUAAUAUUGUUGUUCUCUCAUUGUUCCGGAGUUAACUUGAUUGAGUUUUGAUGCACUGCUUGAAAUUUUGGACACCAUCUGAGUUAUAAGUUAUGAAUGAAGCACAGACGAAAAACAAUGAACUCUAUUUUUAUAAGAAACUUAGUCUGCUUUGAGUCUUUUCUUGAUACAUAAGUAGGAGAUUUUAAAUUGGGCUUGUUUGUACUUUUGCGCAUCUGCAUAUAUAGCACUAAAAGGAAAGUGAUGGUUCCAAUAGAGCAUAUCAAAGAUCUACCUCAUUAGUACCAAUUUGUCUUUUGUAUUACUCUGUAUAUACAUAUUUAUAUAUGUACAUAUUGUUAUUGCUUUAUUUUGUUUCUGUUGUAGAGGAAGAUGAUGGAUGAAUUUGAGAAGGUGAAGCAACAAUUGGUAGAGUACGAGAUCAUGUCAUGGCCCAUAUCCCACAAGCUUGGUCUCUAGCAAUUUGAAACCCUAACUCUUAAGUCUUGAGAUAAUUGGCUCUCUUUUUUUUCAUAACAGUUGGACCAAGAUUAUUGUUGGCUUCUAGAAGAUUGUUGUCAUUGUGAACCUUCAUCAAUUUGGGGUGGGACAACAUUCCAUUCAGUUGUAAGAAGUGUACUGCAGUUAUAAGGAAAAAAAACAUGUAAUUAAGCAACUAUUUGUGUGUCAGACAGACCAUGUAAUUAUUUAGUCCUCAUGGAAUGAAAUUGAGUUCAAUUUACUUGAGAAAUUUCAGUCUUGAAUAUGUUGUUUUUAUAUAUUUGCAAGUGUAUGCAAUGAAAAAAUACUUUUAUUUAUAUUAUACAUUGAAGAGAGCACAUUAUAUACAUUAUGUGUAUAUAUAGCUCAUUCUUCUUUAUAUUAUGUGUAUAUAUAGCUCAUUCUUCUUGCCUUUGUAUAGGGAUGGCAAUAGGUUGAAUAGGGGGUGGGUAUGCCAUUCCCAUCCCUCUAUCCCCGCAAAGCUUUUUUCCCCCAUCCCUACAUUCAUACCAGCAAUACAGACUUGAAAAAAAAAAAGAUAUACGAGGGCAAUGCAGUAGCAAUACACAAGCAAUAAAGGGCUAUACAAUGGCAAUACACAAACUCCAUACUACCCUUAUAAAUUUAUUCCAACAUAGACUUGAAAAAAAAAUAUAUACGGGGGCAAUAUAGUGGCAAUACACAAGCAAUAAAAGGCUAUACAAUGGCAAUACACAAACUUCAUACUCCCCUUAUAAAUUAUUCCAAGACUUAAAAAAAAAGAUAUACGGAGGCAAUACACAAGCAAUAAAAGGCUAUACAAUGGCAAUACAGUAGCAAUACACAAGCAAUAAAAGGCUAUACAAUGGCAAUACACAAACUUCAUACUCCCCCUAUAAAUUUAUUUCAACAUACUUUAAAAAAAAGAUAUACAGGGGCAAUACACAAGCAAUAAGUAGCUAUACAUGUGCAAUACAUAUCAGUCAUGGCAUUUGCCAAUUAAAUCAUUAAUUUGGUUACAUUUGUAUUUUUUUCUUCUUUGCAAGGGGGACGAUAAAACCAUGGAAACUAUAGAUUGACAAAUUUCCUUCUAACUUGACUUUCAUAAAUUGAUGAACUAACAAUGUUAUCUCAUUACAUCUUAAGAUAUACAUAAGAAAGUGGCAAAAAAUAAAAAAUUUACAUCUCCUGUUGGUCUGGAAUUUUAACACAAUUUAUAUCUAUAAGAAAAAUUCCAAGACAUGUCCUCUUAGACCCGAAUUCAAGCUAAAAGUUAGCAAUUUCCUCCCCAAAAGAACCCCACCACUUGAAACAAGACAAUCUUCCAUAUGUAUAAAAUGGAUCAAAAAUGCAUAUUAGAAGCAAAUCAUUCAAUCACAGUGGAAACAAAAACAUAACAUUCAAUUACAACUGAAACCAAUUUCAAAACAAAAACCAAUACCGAAAUUCAUAUAGAUUGUUGGCUUUUCUAAAUGACCCAAUUCUUCAUAUGGCAAACUUUCACAAGACAGUACCAUUGCAAAAUUAAAGUUCAUAUUCAUGCACACAAUUUCAUACUACUCAAUUGCAAUUCGAAAGUAAUAAACAUGGGUGAAGUGAAUGUGUGUCUUGGCAUGCAAACAAAAAUACAAAUCAGGAAAUCAUCAAUAGUGCAUUUGGCAUUGUUCAAACAGUUAAAGAAGCACAGUAUCAGAGAAGAAGAAGAGCAAGACAAUGGAACUAGAUAAAUGCAAGAGUUAUCAACAAACCUUCAAGUUUUCCAAGAACCCUUUUCACAACACCAACACAACCUUGAGGAUUGUAGACUGCACCAAAACAAUAGAGAAAAUAAAGAUCCAACAUAUGCCAACUUUACAGUAUCAAAAGUAUGUUAAAAUAUUGGCAUUCUCAUAAAACUUACAAACUCUCCAAUCACAUUCAAAAGAAGUAAACAAUGAGAAUCUUGCAUUUGUUGCUGGUCUAUUGGUUUCAAAGGUUAAAACCCACAUUACUGUUAUUUCAGAGAGCCUCUAUGAGUUUUAUAUGUAUUCUUACAGGUUGCUCAGAAAAGCCAGAAUUCCUAAUUUGAUAUAUCACCUAAGUGAUUUCACAGACAAAUCACAAUCACAAAAGAGUGAAUACACCACUUUCAAGGAGGUCUGCAAGUCCAAGCCUUAAUCACAAACAAUGUAUGCAUGAUUUCAGAGACAAAUCAUAAGCACAAAACAGUGUAUCCAAGUCCAAGAGCUUGACAACCACAGGAAAUAGUUGGUAAAUUUCAUUCAAUCACAGAAACAACAAACAAACCACAGCAGAAACCCAUUAAUGUCUCAUUCAAAAUAGUGAAAGUAAUCACCCAAUAAUCUCAAUCAAUAACAGAAACCCAAAAAAAAAACAAAACAAAACCAAUAUUAGAACUCACCACAGUGAAGAUCGAAGAUGAAGGUGUUGUGGGUUUGUGAUGGAAGUCGACGACGAAGGUGGAGAGUCACGAUUAUGGCUUCAUUUUGGAGGCCGACAACAGAGGUGGCGAGUCACGCCUUGGCUAGGGUUCGAUUCUGAAUUUGGGGUUCAACCUUAAGGUUCAAAUUAGCUCCUAGUUUGAAGAUAUAACUAAGUGAAAAUUGAAUUAAGCGAGAUUCUACGGUGGAGAUGGAUUUUCUGUGAGGUUUGAAGAAGAGGAAGAGAAAGAGACUAGGGAGAAGAGGAAGAGGAAGAGGAAGAGCAACGACUGAGAAGAAGAAAAAAAGUGACAGAUGGGCAAUAGACUGUCAAUAGGGAGUUUUUAUAGGGGGUAUUUGUGAUUAGAUUUCAAAAUGGGGAUAUUAUUGAAAAACUUAAUUGCGCCGGGACAAAGCCGCCAAUUUCCCUAAAAUAUUAGCUACGGAUCUCCGUCGGCCACGGGGAUUAUGUGUAAUUGUGUUUCAGCCACAAUUGCACCGUGACUUAUGUAUUUGAGGCCACAUGUGCAUAAAAAUCAAGAAAAAGAAUAAGACAAACACUACCGAAGACUUAAAAUCAAGAAAAAGGAUUCUUAGUUAUUUAUGUUCCACUUUGCUACUUCAUCUAAGUCUAAGUCGUUUUGUCGUGAUUGAUCAACUGACUUUUCUUUUUGUCGAAAAUUUGACCAUUUAUCAACCAAUGAUUAACUUGUAGAUUAGUUCUUUAUGUUGCUAGACUUCUUUUUUGGACAUUAUCCUCAGUCAGAGAGCCAAAACAGGACACAUUGAAGUAGCUAAAACAGGCCCAUGGUAGCUCAGUUUUGCUUUAUAAAAAAUCUGCAUUUGCAAUGCGCACACAAAAGCUUAGAUGGAUUCCACAGAAGUAGCUACUAAGACACAUGCUGUUUGCAUUCCAUUCCCUGCUCAAAGCCAUAUAAAGGCAAUGCUUAAAUUUGCAAAGCUCCUCCACCAUAGAGGUUUUCAUAUAACCUUUGUUAACACAGAGUUCAAUCACAAGCGCUUUCUUAAAACUCUAGGAUCCAAUUCCCUAGACGGCUUGCCUGAUUUUCAAUUUUAAGCCAUCCCGGAUAGCCUUCCAGAUUCAAAUGAAGACACCACACAAGAUGUCACUUUGCUUUGUGAGUCCGUCAGAAAAAAUUUAUUGGCUCCCUUUCAUACCCUCCUUGCAAAACUCAACAAUGAUGCCAUAGAAACAUCUACCAAUCCUCCAGUGACUUGCAUAGUUUCAGAUGGUUUCUUGUCCACGUUCACAAUCACAGCUGCUGAAGAAAUUGGAGCCCCUAUAGUGAUGUUCUACACUGUAGCUGCCUGCAGCUUCAUGGGAUGUAAACAAUUUUGCGCCGUGGUCGAAAAAGGACUUGCUCCACUCAAAGGUGAAAUAUAUAACUAUUAAUUGAAGCUAUUGUUGUUUAACUUAUGGUUAACUCUUAACUGCUUGUUGCAAAUGAAACGUUUCUUCAAUUGAAUUUCAUUUGUACUAUUGCAGAUGAGAGCUGUUUAACAAAUGGCUAUCUGGACACCGUAAUAGAUUGGAUCCCAGGAUGAGAGACAUCCGUUUAAGGGAUCUUCCGACCUUUGUGCGAACCACAAAUCCGGAUGACAUCGUAUUUAACUUCAUCCUGGAAGCAACCGAUAGAGCUCAUGAAGCUUCAGCAAUCGUUAUUCAUACUUUUCAGACAGAUGUUUUGGAUGCUCUCUCAUUUAUGCUUCCCCAUGUUUACUCCAUUGGACCUCUUCAAUUGCAUCUCAAUGAAAUACCAGAACACCAUUUGAAAAUGGUGGGAUACAGUCUAUGGAAAGAAGAAACUGAAUGCGUCGAGUGGCUAAACACGAAGACAACCAAACUCAGUUGUCUAUGUGAAUUUCGGCAGUAUAGCAGUCAUGAGUCAUGACACCAGAACAGCUUGUGGAGUUUGGGUGGGGACUUGCUA